UUCAUGGAUGCCAAUGAAGUGAAAAAGGAGGAAGUUUUAUUUUGUAAUCUAAUACUGUCAGUGCAGCUCUUCUGCUUAUCUCCUCUUCUUCUGGGCAUCGUUUUAGUUUUCUAGAAGAUGACAUUGAGAUGAAGGAAGUUAGCGAGAUUAAAACAGGAAUGUCAGAUGAUCUAUCAAAGAAACAUCCCAUAAUAGUAGAACUGAGUUGGUGAACUGUUGGACAAAGGUUCUGCAGUUGAAACAUCUGGAGCCGAUGCAGUUUGAAACAGUAGAAAACAACAGUAGAAAGUUGAGUUUUCAUGAUCUGUUUGUUCCUCUGUUUUCCUCAGCUCUGUACCAGAUCACAUCUUGAUGUUUAUGUUUUCAUUGCAGGAAAUGAUCUCAGUCUCAUUUGAUCUGUUCAAGAAACAAAGAAAUUUCAUUUCCUUCAAAGAUCCAAGAUUGGUGAAAAGCAGACACUUCUAAACGCUGAGGACCAUGAACAGUCUGGAAAGAACCUGUGGACGGUUAGCUUGAAGCUUGUGUGACUGACAGAACUAAAACCAGAACCCAACCAGAACCAAUCCAAUCUUCAGAACAUCCAAGCUGUCUGUAGGUGAUGCCUCCUCCUGCCCUUGAAGGAGCAGCUGAGGUUCUGCUCAUGUGAGCAUGUGCAGAGUAAAGGCUCCCACACAGACUGCUGGGGGGCGGAGCUACUGCUCAGGUGUCCUGUGGGCGCGUCAGCAGGUGAAGGACUUCAGCCAUAGAAAGGUGCAGCAGCUGACCUCUGAGCAGCUCUGUUCAGAUCUAACAGAGGUGUGUGGGACCAGCUGACGUCCUGCUGUUGCCAUGGAAACAGACUUUGGACUAAGAAGUGUCCGAACCUGCAAAUGCAGCUGGUUUCUUCCUGCAGGUUUGUCUGUCAAGAGUCCAGAACCAGAUUAGAAAAGUUUCCCUCCAAAAAUCCUGAAGGUUUUUUUCACAAACCCUGAUAGAAACUCUAUAACGUCUGACUUUCAAAGAUCCUUCAGGAAUCCUGUUUGACGAGUUUGGAGUCAAAAGAAAAUAAGAAGAAAUAGUUUGAGUAGAAAUUCUUGUAAUACAAAAAUGUUUUAACAUAAACUGACUUAAAAAUGAUUAAAACCAUGGAAAUCCAAGUAAAAAAAUCUAGUGAUAAACGACAGACAUCUUUGAAAUUAAAAGUAAUUUUCUUUCUGACCCAAUUACCUUAAACUUACAUCUGUCAUGUGAUAUUUGGAGAAACGGGAACAGAAAACAUUUAAAGUGAUUGAUGUUUUACUGAGGAGAGCAAUCAAAUCAUAAAUCCGAUCAUUGAUUACACAUCAACCAAUCAUCUGUUGACUGAUUAACAGACUAAUCAACUUUAUGAUCUCCUUCAGGAUCAGACCACGUCAUUCAUGUCAAAGUCCACAGGAAUCUGCAGGAAUCCGCUCUGAAACUGGAGCCGGUUGGGCUUCAGGGACACAAAGCUGUUCAGAAACUCCAGAGGAAAAAGUAAAAGAAAGAACAGAUGCGUUUCUGUCAGAGCGGCGAGUUGAUGAACAACUGGAGUGAAAAGAACGUGGAGGUGGAGACCAUGAGCUCGGGGCUUUUGGGGUCUUCAAACAGUGACCUCUGCAGGCCGGAAUAGGAAGUGCAGCUUGAUGUCUGGAUGGAGGAAAUGUUUCAUCUUCAUCAGAUGAAAUGAGAGGCUCUCAUGUGUGAAGAACAUCUGAACAGCUUUCAUCACUUUCUCCUGAUUCUGAUUUGAUAUGGAUUGAAUUCUGCUACAGAAUGUUUGGAUUUCAACUCCUUUCACUGAUUUUCUUCAGGGCGGCUCUACUGGGUUCUAGACAAAAUGGGUCAAAGAUGUCGGCUGGAAGAAGGUGUGUGUGUGAGCUGAUCCAGUGGAUCCAGUUAAUCCAGC